CAGUCGAGCGCCCCGCAAGGGGAGCGGCAGACGGGUGAGUAACGCGUGGGAAUCUACCCAUCUCUACGGAACAACUCCGGGAAACUGGAGCUAAUACCGUAUACGUCCUUUUGGAGAAAGAUUUAUCGGAGAUGGAUGAGCCCGCGUUGGAUUAGCUAGUUGGUGGGGUAAUGGCCUACCAAGGCGACGAUCCAUAGCUGGUCUGAGAGGAUGAUCAGCCACACUGGGACUGAGACACGGCCCAGACUCCUACGGGAGGCAGCAGUGGGGAAUAUUGGACAAUGGGCGCAAGCCUGAUCCAGCCAUGCCGCGUGAGUGAUGAAGGCCCUAGGGUUGUAAAGCUCUUUCAACGGUGAAGAUAAUGACGGUAACCGUAGAAGAAGCCCCGGCUAACUUCGUGCCAGCAGCCGCGGUAAUACGAAGGGGGCUAGCGUUGUUCGGAAUUACUGGGCGUAAAGCGCACGUAGGCGGAUUGUUAAGUUAGGGGUGAAAUCCCAGGGCUCAACCCUGGAACUGCCUUUAAUACUGGCAAUCUCGAGUCCGAGAGAGGUGAGUGGAAUUCCGAGUGUAGAGGUGAAAUUCGUAGAUAUUCGGAGGAACACCAGUGGCGAAGGCGGCUCACUGGCUCGGUACUGACGCUG
rnacentral:rRNA from 1 species